UACAGAGGUCCCAAGCGUUGUUCGGAUUCACUGGGCGUAAAGGGUGCGUAGGUGGUGAGGUAAGUUUGAGGUGAAAUCUCCGGGCCCAACCCGGAAACUGCCUCGAAUACUAUCUUGCUAGAGGGUUUGAGGGGGGACUGGAAUACUUGGUGUAGCAGUGAAAUGCGUAGAUAUCAAGUGGAACACCAGUGGCGAAGGCGAGUCCCUGGAAAACUCCUGACACUGAGGCACGAAAGCUAGGGGAUCAAACGGG
rnacentral:rRNA from 1 species